rnacentral:rRNA from 1 species
ACACAUGCAAGUCGAGGGGCAGCAUCAUCAAAGCUUGCUUUGAUGGAUGGCGACCGGCGCACGGGUGAGUAACACGUAUCCAACCUGCCGACAACACUGGGAUAGCCUUUCGAAAGAAAGAUUAAUACCGGAUGGCAUAGUUUUCCCGCAUGGGAUAAUUAUUAAAGAAUUUCGGUUGUCGAUGGGGAUGCGUUCCAUUAGGCAGUUGGCGGGGUAACGGCCCACCAAACCUACGAUGGAUAGGGGUUCUGAGAGGAAGGUCCCCCACAUUGGAACUGAGACACGGUCCAAACUCCUACGGGAGGCAGCAGUGAGGAAUAUUGGUCAAUGGACGAGAGUCUGAACCAGCCAAGUAGCGUGAAGGAUGACUGCCCUAUGGGUUGUAAACUUCUUUUAUACGGGAAUAAAGUUAGCCACGUGUGGUUUUUUGUAUGUACCGUAUGAAUAAGGAUCGGCUAACUCCGUGCCAGCAGCCGCGGUAAUACGGAGGAUCCGAGCGUUAUCCGGAUUUAUUGGGUUUAAAGGGAGCGUAGGCGGGUUGUUAAGUCAGUUGUGAAAGUUUGCGGCUCAACCGUAAAAUUGUAGUUGAUACUGGCGACCUUGAGUGCAACAGAGGUAGGCGGAAUUCGUGGUGUAGCGGUGAAAUGCUUAGAUAUCACGAAGAACUCCGAUUGCGAAGGCAGCUUACUGGAUUGUAACUGACGCUGAUGCUCGAAAGUGUGGGUACCAAACAGGAUUAGAUACCCUGGUAGUCCACACAGUAAACGAUGAAUACUCGCUGUUGGCGAUAUACAGUCAGCGGCCAAGCGAA